AAUGAUACAUAGUGUUCUCGAACAAGAGUGGUCCAAAGAACUAUUGAGAUCAGUCUUCUUCUUCCUCUGUCGGUGGGUCGUGUGGCACUCUAACUUUUUUCCUUGCUAGCUCCUUCUUCUUCACUAUUUGUUGCACCUCUCGGUCUUAUCGUAGGACAAACUCGGAUGGUACCUGCAAAUGACACUUCGACGCUCAAGUCAGGAAAGAGAUUCGGCGCUCGGUUCUUAGAGCAUUAUAGAUGAUGACAUACCUGGAUCUUGAAAUGUGUGUUAUUUAUAUUACAUUUGAUGGGUUUUUCUUAUUGGGUCAGGUUAGGGGGUUGGACCGCGUUUAGGAAUGUAUUACCUAGUUCUUAACUACGGAUUAGCUUGAUUAAUCCUGCUUGAGCGUAAUUGUAUUUAUGUUAUCUGUCGACCCAUUGAUGUGGGUCACGAUCUCGAUCAACCUAGUGAUGGAGACCGAGACAU
rnacentral:lncRNA from 1 species